rnacentral:rRNA from 1 species
UUCGACGAUACGCGAAGAACCUUACCUGGCCUUGACAUAGUAGAAUCUAAUAGAGAUAUAAGAGUGCUAGUUUACUAGAGCUUACAUACAGGUGCUGCACGGCUGUCGUCAGCUCGUGUCGUGAGAUGUUGGGUUAAGUCCCGCAACGAGCGCAACCCUCGUGUUUAGUUACUAACAGUUCGGCUGAGGACUCUAAACAGACUGCCUGGGUAACCAGGAGGAAGGUGAGGACGACGUCAAGUCAUCAUGGCCCUUACGGCCAGGGCUACACACGUGCUACAAUGGGGUAUACAAAGAGCCGCGAUACCGUGAGGUGGGGCAAAUCUCAUAAAAUAUCUCCCAGUUCGGAUUGAAGUCUGCAACUCGACUUCAUGAAGUUGGAAUCGCUAGUAAUCGUAGAUCAGCAAUGCUACGGUGAAUACGUUCCCGGGUCUUGUACUCACCGCCCGUCACACCAUGGGAGUUGAUUUCAUUCGAAGCGGGGAUGCUAAAAUAGCUACCUUCCA